AUUAUUUUCUCUUUCAAACUUUUAUAUUUACGCAGCUCUUCUCCCUCCUCCAUUGAAGCGUACUCUGAGUUCUCCAUUAAAACGGCUUCUGAGCUUUCUCUCCUCCAUUGAAGCAGCUUCUGAGCUUAGAGACAGAGAAAGCAGCGAUGUCACCAGCUAUGGCGGUGUCCUGCUCUUCACCCCUACUCCACCCAUAUUUUAAUCAGCAAGGUAUUUCACAUCGAUCAAGUGGGUGCCAGCCUUUCGUCCGACAAGAUUCUUUAAAUGGAAAAGGCAGCUUUAUAACUUAUAAAGCAGGUCUUGUAGUUCAGAAUACAAAGCCAAGCUUCUCAUGCUCUGUAGGCAUGGCAGAUGGACAUUCCACUGAUAAUCAGGGGAAAUUAAACUUGGACCAGAUGAUGGACAAGGCCAGAGAAGUUUGGAAUGGCCUUCCCAAACCAAUCAAAAACUUCCCUUGGAACAGAGUGCUAGAUAGUUUUAUUCAACUUAUUCUUGAUGUUGCAAUUGCUGUUGUCAAAUACUUAAGUGCUCCUGUGCUGGCUGUUACCUCCCUCAGUGAGAUGUCCUACUGUGCACAUGAAAGGAAACUGUUUCUUGUUCCUAUUCCAUUGGUUCUUGGGUUUGCUGUUGCUGGGAUAUUGAAAGAGACAGCACAAGAACUAUCUCCUCUUACCAAGGAUGCUGACGUUCCUUGGCAUAUGAUUGCAAUUGCUAUUCUUCUUGUUCUUCUUAAGUUGCCUGGGCCAUACUACCCAUACUGGGGCCGGAUGUUUAUUCCUCAUUUUGCAAACGGAGGGCUUUUAAGGGUUUUUCUAAUGAUGUAUUUCUGGUACCAAAAGCCCAAGAAGAGCCAAGUGUUGCAAGAUGCAGAGAGUUCAGAUCAGAAUUGAGUAUAUUUUGUGAUAGGUAUGACGGUAUGCUGUUUAACAUUUGCACAUGAGUAUGAUGUUUCUUGUUCCUGUUAUCAUGGAUCCUUUGUUAUAUAACUAUGGCAGGAAAAAUGCAUGUGAGGAAUAUUAGUCUAGGUUUUAGCUACGUAACCCAACUUGCCUGAACUGUGACCUAUUGUCUGCUAAGAGCUGCCAAGGAAUAAAUAAGGAUGUACUACAUGAAGUGAUGAAGCCCCAAGCCCCUGUGAUUUUGAAACUUCUAUUUGGAGGAUAGUUUUUUCCUUUCCAUCCAUAUAAAUCCCUUGUGAUUUUGUUUUGAAAUAAGUAUGGCUGUAUUGAAGUAUUUCUGUAUUUGUUGUCAAUUGUGCUAUAUAGGUUGUAGUAUCCUCCUAUCAUAUUUUCAGACACCUUUUUUUUUUUCCUAAAUAAUUGGUUCAGUGCCAUUGGAGGAGGGGCCCUGGAGAUGUAUUAGGAGGUGGAGGGAGGAGCUGAUUUUGAAAUAAAGGCGGGGGAUGGAGGUGUUUCUUUUUCAUAAGGGCAUAUAAUGGGAUCAGCCUAGAUUACCUCGAUAUCAGAACUGUAAUCAUCCAGCUUAAGAGCGGAUGAUAAUGACAGAACAAACUUCUUUACAACUGUCUGGACUUUGAACUGGCUGCAAGCCUGUAACGUAAUUAACGGACUAUUAUGAGAUCAUGAUCAUGCUGCUUUAGAGUACAGCAUGAUGGAUAGUAAAUCCUUCCUCCACAUUUCAUCCAGGUUACAUUUGUUAGAUAUUUUUGUGUUUACUUAGAUUAGUGGCGGCAUUUUUGUUCAUGAAAUUCUAGAAUUUGAUACGCAAGGCAUCUGAGGCUACAAGUGUUUCUAGAAUUGAGCCCUUUUUAUUUUUAUUUUUGUGUUAUUCAAUUUCAACCUUGGUUAAAUUUUUCUCUGUACAUAUCCAUGGUUUUUCUUAUGUAAUAAUCUUUAAGGAAGAGAUACCCUCUCCCUUUUCGUUUGCUAUUUCUUGUCAUUGUUUCUUACUGGCAUCUCAGGAAAGACGAUGCUUGUGGUGUAAA